rnacentral:rRNA from 1 species
UAUAUUAAAGUUGUUGCGGUUAAAAAGCUCGUAGUUGGAUCUCAGUUCCGGACCGACGGUGCGCCCUCGGCGAUUUACUGUCGGUCCGAACAGCUAGUCGGCUCGCUCGGGGUGUUCUUUAUCGGGUGUCCCGCGUGGCCGGCAUGUUUACUUUGAAAAAAUUAGAGUGCUCAAAGCAGGCUAAUGCCUGAAUAGUUGUGCAUGGAAUAAUGGAAUAGGACCUCGGUUCUAUUUUGUUGGUUUUCGGAACCCGAGGUAAUGAUUAAUAGAGACGGACGGGGGCAUUCGUAUUGCGACGCUAGAGGUGAAAUUCUUGGACCGUCGCAAGACGUACUACUGCGAAAGCAUUUGCCAAGAACGUUCUCAUUAAUCAAGAACGAAAGUUAGAGGUUCGAAGGCGAUCAGAUACCGCCCUAGUUCUAACCAUUAACGAUGCUGACUAGCGAUCCGUCUGUGUUAAUCCCAUGACUAGACGGGCAGCUUCCGGGAAACCAAAGUCUUUGAGUUCCGGGGGAAGUAUGGUUGCAAAGCUGAAACUUAAAGGAAUUGACGGAAGGGCACCACCAGGAGUGGAGCCUGCGGCUUAAUUUGACUCAACACGGGGAACCUCACCAGGCCCGGACACCGGAAGGAUUGACAGAUUGAGAGCUCUUUCUUGAUUCGGUGGGUGGUGGUGCAUGGCCGUUCUUAGUUGGUGGAGCGAUUUGUCUGGUUAAUUCCGAUAACGAACGAGAUUUUAGCCUGCUAACUAGUCGGCGGAUUUACAUAUCGUGUCCGCCGCAGCUUCUUAGAGGGAUAAGCGGCAUCUAGCCGC